CGACACCAUGAACAGCAUCGCACCAAUGCAGGCCGAGAGCUUGGUCCAUGUCCAGAGGUCGUUGCACAGCUGCACACCAGCCACUGCUCGCCAGCCCAUGAAGCCAAUCAAGGCGAUGUAGACAGCUACCAGGCAGCUGGAAACGAGGAGGAGAAGAUAUGGCAGCCAAACAGAAGCCCAGUAAGGCAGGAGGAGUUUUGUGAUACGUGGUGAGGCUGGUCACCAAGAAGAGAGUCAGCUCCCAGGUAGCCUCAUGCCUGGAGCUUGCUGUUGGCCAUCACCACAUGACUCCAAAACCCAUCACAUCAGCCUCACAGUUGCAGGCAACAGAUGACAGCACUUCUGGAAGGGUUUCCUCUUCCACACCAGUUGUGGAGGAUCCCCACCAUGCCGCAACAAGCCUGAGAUCUUCAGCGUGGAAAACUAACAACCUCCAGAGCUACAAAGUGGAAAAGAAUUCGCAGCAUCAACAGUGCUCCAGUUGCUUGUCACAGUCUCAGCUAAGAGUCAGUUGUCUGUAUCAACAUUACAAGUGGGAUGAAGAAAAUCCAGCUGCCACCAGGAGGGAGACACCUUGCGCCUGAGGUAUAGAGGAAUGUCAGAAGCUUGUUGCUUUGAAAUGCUGAAGUUGGACAAAGUUCACUGUCCCUAAGCCUCGCACUGGUCCCAGGAAACAAUGUGGAAUAUCAAAUAAUGCUCUUCUCUCCACAAGUCCCCUAAAUCAGCCUGCACAGAAAAUGAGUAUAUAGCCUCUUCCAGACACCAGCUGUGUGCCAACCUGCUGUGGGGAUAUGGCACACGCCCACUGGGCUGUAAAAUGCUGCUUUCCAGGAAAAGUGUUUUAAAAAUAAUACCCUAGCUAUUCCACUGAGCAACACUUGAGCUUGACUGUGUGUACUGGCCAAAAAAAGCUGGGCCGCUGUCCUCCACCCAUCCCUCCUAGUGACCUUGGCUGGCAAAGUACCAUUCUGUGUACCCAUGGCUCCGCUCUUUCUUCUGGCUUUUGGCAUCUUACAUCGUGGAUCCUGCCUUCGUUCUGCCCUACCGUGACAAUAGCUCUUACCCCCAGUUGUGCGCCGAUAAAUAUUUUUGUGGCUUUUGUUGCCAUGUAUUAUGCUGCCACUGCAAGCCCAAAGCUUGUGUUUCUCAUUCCCCAGAAUAUGUGGCUCUUCACAAGGCACUGAUGAUCCUCUGUGCAGUCUGAGUCACAGAGGGAGAGCUGCUUCAGCCUGGGGAUGGACCAAAGUUAGGAUAAAGUAUAUGUAUGUGCAACAGGCUCUCAUCUACAGAACAACAGGAAACCAACACAAUUCCCCAUUAGGUUGAGCCUACGGAACACCCAUCUUUGUCCUUAACCAAAAUGAGUAGACCAUAAGAAGCCCGUGUGUGCACAUAUCCUAGCCAGAGGCAGCUGAUUUUCCCCCAAAUUCAAUGACCCACCAGCUUUUGCUGAAUGAAGGAGGAACAUAGCAAUGCUGGCCAAUUCCUGGCCAUGAACCUGCAUGAGCUGACUGCAAAGCCAUCAUCCUCCUGGGUUUGCCUGCAAGUUCCCACCUUUGCUCAGAUGGUGCAACAUCAAGCCUUCUGAAUGUGUACACACUGAAACUGAUAUAAAAGAGGGAAAUUUUAAGCAGGGGGACCGAUGUGUGUGUAAUAGGGAGGAUUCUGCUGUUUGGUACUCCAGUUCACCAUUUACAUCUUCCCUAUCCUUGGUGGAUGCAGGGGCCAUCACAAAGACCAGCCCUGGCAUGGGCCCCUGCCUGGGCACAGAGCAAAGGCCCCAGCGGCCACUUUGGCCGCUUAGCUCUCCAUCCCUCCUGGGUGGCUUGCAGAGGUGGGAGAGGAGGAGACAGAUGAGAUGUAAAGGGACCAGCCAGCUAGUGCUUUUCACUCCACAGGGUUGCUGAAACAUUAGGGCUGGCUGGGAGAGUCCUAACUGGUACACUCUGGCGAGCGUAGGUGAGUGCAAAGCACUUCACCUCCAACUCUGCUCUCCUGCAGGAGCAAACAUGCUCUUGGGGGGUAACCGAAUGCCUUUUGUCA